CAGAUUGCUUGGCCGGGAGUACUGAGCUCAUUGCAUGGGGGAUCAUUGUCUGGAUUGGCAUUGACGCCUAUUUCCUGCGGUUUCGUGUAGAUUUUCAAUUUUUGAAAUUGUGUGGUGGAAAAGCCGUAGUGACCUGCUGCGGUUGCGAAUUGUGGGAGCGUGUGCAGAGAGAGCAUUUAGGUUUGCGUCGUGGUGAGUCGUGUGAUUUUCGAGACGUCUGCCAGUGUUAGGUUUUCGAGGUGUGAGCUCGAGGGUGUUUGAUCGUCAUGGCGGAGGGCAUUGCUUUGCUCUCUGCGUACUCUGACUCAGAUGUCGAUGAUGAUAGUCCAGUCCAAGCCUCCUCGGAUGCGCGCGGGAGUAUUGUGGAUUACGCUCAGGACGAAGGGCAUGGUGAUGAACGUGAUGAUGAGCUUAAGGGAAACGAACCCUUGGCGGAGAGUAACUUGGUUGAGGUUUCUGGCUCAGGGGUUUUGCAAGUAGAAGGAAUUGUUCCCAUGGAUGCAGACACACAGGAGGAUAUGCAAACAGGUGAUGGAGAUGUACAAAAUUUAGGUGAAAACGGCAACGACGAGGUUCCUGUUCCCAGCGCAGAGGAGGAAAUAUUUUCUGGUUUUUGGCCAUCACCCCCAUCCACACCAUGCCCAGAGGAAUUACAGGCUAAAUUUUCGAAGUUUCUGAAACUUAAAGAACAGGGAAGGAACUUCAAUGAAGAUCUGCGAAAGUCGAAGGGUUAUCGAAAUCCAGACUUCCUGCAGCUUGCUGUUCUACAUCAAAAUAUAAACGAGAUUGGCAGCUGUUUUGAUCCAGAAAUCUUCGACCCGCACGGAUACGACAAAAGUGACUUUGCAGAUGCAUUGGCAGCUGAGCAAAGGAGGGAGGCAGAUCGCAGGGAGCAGGAGAGGAGGCAGAACCAACGCACCAGUGUUGACUUUGUGCGCGCAACACAGCUUCUUACCUCUCAAAAAGUGUCACUAGCAGCAGCAGCAGCAGCUACGAAUGCUCAGCUCGUACAGGGAGCCCAUACCAUUAUCAGUACGACCUCCUCAACAGUUCAUACUACAACGACAACAAGUGAAGUAAGGAGUGAAACCCGUGUCAAUAAGAAAAGCAAAUGGGACAAAGCGGGUCAUCACUAAUAGCAUCUGUCAGCUGUUUUUUUUAAAGUUACAAUUGCUGGAGGGCACAUUGGCACCAAUGUUAACUUGUUAUGGACUGUUUGGCGGACUGUGUCUAUAAAAGUGAGAGCAUAGAUGCGGGUGAACUUUGAAACAUUAAAUCUUGUGCGCCUCACAUGCACAUAUCGACAAUUUCUUAUGGUAUACCUUUUGGCGCUGUCUUAGAGUGACGCUGUUUGCUUAGUUUAGAUUCUUUCGAGUUUGCUUCUGUUCAGGUUUUGUUUUUUUUUGUUUUUUUUGUUUGUUUUUUUUUUUUAAUCCUUGCUCAUGUUCAUGAAACCACUUGUAAUAAUAUCCAAUCGUUCAUCCUGUCGAGACUAUCUUGUAGGCUUAGACAGGUGUUACCCAUGAUCUACCUCAUGUGUUACCGAUUGCAGAUCACCUUCAACAUUAUGAAAGUGUUCAGCAUUGACUCAGACAGUCCGACAUUCUCAUAAGCUUUCAUUAUUUCCAGAGGCAAGCAAUGAACUUCGCAGGUUAAGUGCCUUUGUUCCAAGUUUAUGAAUUUAUUCUUCGCUACUUGUAAAGGCUUGGCACAUGCAAUCUGUAAUUUCUAAGAUGCAAGUUUGACAUAAUUGUAUUUUAAGAUGCAAUUCCUGACUUGGAAAGGCCUCUUAAUUAAAUCUUCCAGAAAUUGCCCACUCAGUCGUACAUUGUGCUCAUUGCUAGUUGACGCAUUUGUUUAUCCUCUUAUCAGUUGUGUGAGGGUGACUGCUAUCGACAAAAACCACUGACUAGAAUUUGCAUGAAAUCAUAUCAGUUUCAGGUAUGGAAUUGCAUGAAAGCUUUUGCAGCUCUGAGGAGAUAAAGUGGACCAAAUCUGGAUUCUUGGACUUGGAAUCAUUUUGAUAGGACGUGCGACUUUCAAGGAUUUUCACUUACGCUCUUAGUAAGCGACUCUGAAAAGGUUGAGGAAUAAUGAUUGUACUGUUGUAUCCUAUUUAGUAUUGUGGACAAUACGCAGAAGUACACACCAUGCCUCUAGAUUUUCCUCUAGAUGCCGGCGAGUGGGAGGAAAUCAAUCUCCCAAUCGAGAACUCUGUCAACAUUCCACCGGGAUUAGGAAUACAGUAGCGCUUCAUUAACAUAAGUACGAGAAUCCACAUUACCUUACCCAUGAAAGUGUUAGUUACAGUUAUAUUUAACACGAUCUUCCCUUCACGUAUUCGUACCUUUUAGGCCAGUCCUUACUUUCGUCCUCGUACAUAUCACGUUCAUAACUCAUUACGUAGAAAAUUGCAUUCAAUAUAUUCUUAACCCCUGUUUCAA